AACACAUCUUCCAGUGAAGGAAGCUGUUAAUGGCCUGGUGCGGCAGCUCAUGCCUCUAAUCCCAGCAAUUUGGGAGGCCAAGGCAAGCAAAUGGCUUCAGCUCAGGAGUUCAAGCCAAGCCUGGGCAACAUGGCAAAACCCCAUCUCUGCAAAAAAUAUCAAAAAUUAGCAAAGCGUUGUGGUGUGCACCUGUAGUCCCAGCUACUCAGGAGGCUGUGAUAGGAGGAUCACCUCAGCCGGGGAAGUCGAGGCUGCAGUGAGUUCUGAUUAUGUCACUACACUAUAGCCUGGGCAACAGAGUGAAGCCCUGUCUCAAAAACAAACAAACAGGAUGUGGUGGUGUGUGCCUGUAGUCCCAGCUACUCAGGAGGCUGAGGCAGGAGAAUCGCUUGAAUCUAGGAGGUGGAAGUUGCAGUGAGCUGAGAUCGUGCCAUUGCUCUACAGCCUGGUAACAGGGCGAGACUCCGCCUCAAAAACAAACAGACAAACAAACAGAAAAUGAUAAAACACUCCAUCGCACUGAGGUACGAAAGCCAUCCACACCAGACUUCAGUUAACAUGGAGUCUGAGAAGUAAUAAAUGGUCAUGUCCACCAAGCAGGAAGCCUUCUGUGAGCUCCAGGCAGGAGACAUACUUUGAGAGUGAGGGGGGUACUCAGAUCUGCCAGCAUGUUGCUGAGAUUCUCAGAUAGUAGCAUCUUAUAUUUUUCUUUCUUUUCUAAGAAUGAAAGCAAAGCAAAAAGCAGAAGCAAAAAUGAGGUUUCAGCUCCAUCAGUUUGGCUCCACAAGCAGCUGAGCAAGUGUAAUUGUGGUUUGUGAUUGGCCCUGGUUUGCUGGUUUCCACAGGCAAUUGACUGUUUCCAGAGGUGCCUCCACAAGCCAUUUAAGAUGUAGGAAACCUCACAUACUGCAGUUAGAAAUGGUUUGCCAGGGUUAUGAUGACUUCUUCAAAAAUAAGCAUUAAUUUUAAUGCUAACAUGCCAAAGGGCAACAUCGCGUUGCAACUCUAUAA
rnacentral:lncRNA from 1 species